rfam:Camelus ferus unplaced genomic scaffold scaffold644, whole genome shotgun sequence.
GAGAGAAUAGCUCACAGUGGUAGAGCGCAUGCUUAGUAUGCACAAGGUCCUGGGUUCAAUCCCCAGUACCUCCU